AUACGGAGGGUGCAAGCGUUACUCGGAAUCACUGGGCGUAAAGCGCGCGCAGGCGGGCUGAUAAGUUGGAUGUGAAAGCCUACGGCUCAACCGUAGAACUGCGUCCAAAACUAUUUAGCUAGAGUGUGGGAGAGGAAGAUGGAAUUAGUUGUGUAGGGGUAAAAUCCGUAGAGAUAACUAGGAAUACCAAAAGCGAAGGCAAUCUUCUGGAACAUUACUGACGCUGAGGCGCGAAAGCGUGGGGAGCAAACAGGAUUAGAAACCCCAGUAGUCC
rnacentral:rRNA from 1 species